rnacentral:rRNA from 1 species
AACGAACGCUGGCGGCAUGCCUAACACAUGCAAGUCGAACGAACCCUUCGGGGUUAGUGGCGCACGGGUGCGUAACGCGUGGGAAUCUGCCCUUGGCUUCGGAAUAACAGUUAGAAAUGACUGCUAAUACCGGAUGAUGACGAAAGUCCAAAGAUUUAUCGGCCAGGGAUGAGCCCGCGUAGGAUUAGGUAGUUGGUGGGGUAAAGGCCUACCAAGCCGACGAUCCUUAGCUGGUCUGAGAGGAUGAUCAGCCACACUGGGACUGAGACACGGCCAGGACUCCAACGGGAGGAAGCAGUGGGUAAUAUUGAAAAAGGGGGGAAACCCUGAUCCAGCAAUGCGGCGUGGGGGAUGAAGGCCUUAGGGUUGUAAACCUCUUUUCCCCGGGACGAAAAUGCCGGACCCGGGAAAAUAACCCCGGGCUAACUACGUCCCAGCCGCCGAAGUAA